AGGUGGUGAUGUGGUUUACCCAGGAUCACACAACUAGCAGAUGACAGAACCCUGGUGGGAAUUGUGUGUGGCUGCCUCAUCCAGGCUCCUCAUGACCACUUGCUGGACCACCCCCUGCUUUGAAAAAGCUCUCAACGUGUGCAGAAUGAAUUUAGUACAAUGCAUGACCAAACCUUGAAUGCCAAGAACCUGAGAGUCAGGUGAUAUUAAUCAGGGUUCUCCAGAACCAAUAGAAGAGAGGUAGCUAGGUAGACUUAUUAUAAGCAACUGAUUAUUUAUAUAGAAGCCAGGAAGUCCCACCAUGUGCCACCUAUCAGCUAAAGAACCAGGAAAGCCAGUGGCAUAAUUUAUUUUGAGUCUAAAGGCCCAAGAACCAGGAGUGCUGAUGUCCAAGAAUAGGAGAAAAUAAAUGGAGAAAAGAAGGAGAGAAUACAUUCAUUCUUCCUCAACCUUUUUGCUUUAUUCUGGCCCCCAACAAUUGGAUGACACCCACCCACAUCGAAGACUAACUUGCUAUGGUUCAGCUGACCUGUAAGGGCCUAGAAUCACCAAAUCCUAGAGUUGCAGGGACUUCAAAAUCCAUGCCAGAGAUUGUCUCCUGUGUUACUACUGUGUUGUCAGAGGCUACCUGGUAACACCCAGCUGGAACCUGCCCGAGUCUAGCACCUCACUGAGCUCGUGUUAUACAGCCCUCUCACUAUGAGGCCCGGACAGGCAGGCCCAUGCACAGAAUGCAACUUUGGAAUAAACACCAGUGACUUGGCAGUAAAGAUCUGCUUCGGAAGCUACAAAUUUCUAUGCCUUCAGGGGCCGCAGAUGUGUCGUGAAUGUUGGAGGCAGCCAAGUGUAAGCUGGGAGUUGUGAAAAGUGAGCAAAUACAGAUAAGCACAAAGAAGCUAAGAUUGCCCACCACGCAGAGCUCAGAGAUAGCUGCUAUUAACAUCCCUCUGCAUCUUUUUCUUUUCAAGUUUAUACAGUAAUAAUGAUGAAGACAGGAGCAUCUUUCUGUGCUGCUUUUUAAGGUUUUCACUUUUCUGUCUACACUUAAUACUGCU
rnacentral:lncRNA from 1 species